rnacentral:rRNA from 1 species
AAGGAAUAUUGGUCAAUGGACGCAAGUCUGAACCAGCCAUGCCGCGUGAAGGAAGACGGCCCUACGGGUUGUAAACUUCUUUUGUACGGGAAAAAACCUCCGGUCGUGCACCGGAGCUGAUGGUACCGUAAGAAUAAGCAUCGGCUAACUCCGUGCCAGCAGCCGCGGUAAUACGGAGGAUGCAAGCGUUAUCCGGAUUCAUUGGGUUUAAAGGGUGCGCAGGCGGAAUGAUAAGUCAGUGGUGAAAUCCUACGGCUCAACUGUAGAACUGCCAUUGAUACUGUCGUUCUUGAGUACACUUGGAGUGGGCGGAAUGUGUCAUGUAGCGGUGAAAUGCUUAGAUAUGACACAGAACACCGAUCGCGAAGGCAGCUCACUAAAUUGUAACUGACGCUCAGGCACGAAAGCGUGGGGAUCAAAC